rnacentral:rRNA from 1 species
AUACGGAGGAUCCGAGCGUUAUCCGGAUUUAUUGGGUUUAAAGGGAGCGUAGGCGGACGCUUAAGUCAGUUGUGAAAGUUUGCGGCUCAACCGUAAAAUUGCAGUUGAUACUGGGUGUCUUGAGUACAGUAGAGGCAGGCGGAAUUCGUGGUGUAGCGGUGAAAUGCUUAGAUAUCACGAAGAACUCCGAUUGCGAAGGCAGCCUGCUGGACUGUAACUGACGCUGAUGCUCGAAAGUGUGGGUAUCAAACAGGAUUAGAUACCCUGGUAGUCCACACAGUAAACGAUGAAUACUCGCUGUUUGCGAUAUACAGUAAGCGGCCAAGCGAAAGCGUUAGGUAUUCCACCUGGGGAGUACGCCGGCAACGGUGAAACUCAAGGGAAUUGACGGGG